rnacentral:rRNA from 1 species
GACGAACGCUGGCGGCGUGCCUAAUACAUGCAAGUCGAACGCUUCUUUCCUCCCGAGUGCUUGCACUCAAUUGGAAAGAGGAGUGGCGGACGGGUGAGUAACACGUGGGUAACCUACCCAUCAGAGGGGGAUAACACUUGGAAACAGGUGCUAAUACCGCAUAACAGUUUAUGCCGCAUGGCAUAAGAGUGAAAGGCGCUUUCGGGUGUCGUUGAUGGAUGGACCCGCGGUGCAUUAGCUAGUUGGUGAGGUAACGGCUCACCAAGGCCACGAUGCAUAGCCGACCGCAGAGGGUGAUCGGCCACACUGGGACUGAGACACGGCCCAGACUCCUACGGGAGGCAGCAGUAGGGAAUCUUCGGCAAUGGACGAAAGUCUGACCGAGCAACGCCGCGUGAGUGAAGAAGGUUUUCGGAUCGUAAAACUCUGUUGUUAGAGAAGAACAAGGACGUUAGUAACUGAACGUCCCCUGACGGUAUCUAACCAGAAAGCCACGGCUAACUACGUG